rnacentral:rRNA from 1 species
UACGGAGGGAGCUAGCGUUAUUCGGAAUUACUGGGCGUAAAGCGCACGUAGGCGGCUUUGUAAGUUAGAGGUGAAAGCCUGGAGCUCAACUCCAGAAUUGCCUUUAAGACUGCAUCGCUUGAAUCCAGGAGAGGUGAGUGGAAUUCCGAGUGUAGAGGUGAAAUUCGUAGAUAUUCGGAAGAACACCAGUGGCGAAGGCGGCUCACUGGACUGGUAUUGACGCUGAUGGUGCGAAAAGCGUGGGGGAGCAAACAGG